AUGUUACUUGUUAUCACCACAUUCAGGAGGUUAAGUAGGUUCAAGAGGCUUUUUUGUAGGAAGGACGUGGGAAGACGCAAGCAAGAAGGUUUCUUCUCUGUAGCCUCCACCAAAUCCUUCUGGACCUAUGAAGCAUCCGGAACAGGGAUUCUCUCCAUUUUAUAAGUGUACAAACUGACAAGAAAGAGACCAAGAGACCCAUCUGAAGCCUUCCUACUUCUUGCAUUCAUAUUUCGGGCGUAAAGUUUCCUGACUUCCAACACUAUACUCUUUGUUCAAUAAAGCACUUAAAAAUUCCAACUCUCAAGAGGU
rnacentral:lncRNA from 1 species